rnacentral:rRNA from 1 species
CUACGGGGCGCUCCAGUGGGGAAUAUUGGACAAUGGGGGAAACCCUGAUCCAGCAAUGCCGCGUGAGUGAAGAAGGCCUUCGGGUUGUAAAGCUCUUUUACCUGUGACGAUAAUGACGGUAACAGGGGAAUAAGCACCGGCUAACUUCGUGCCAGCAGCCGCGGUAAUACGAAGGGUGCUAGCGUUGUUCGGAAUUACUGGGCGUAAAGGGCGCGUAGGCGGUCUUUUAAGUCAGAUGUGAAAGCCCUGGGCUCAACCUGGGAACUGCAUUUGAAACUGGGAGACUAGAGAUCGAAAGAGGAGAGUGGAAUGACGAGUGUAGAGGUGAAAUUCGUAGAUAUUCGUUGGAACACCAGUGGCGAAGGCGACUUUCUGGUUCGAUACUGACGCUAAGGCGCGAAAGCGUGGGGAGCAAACAGGAUUAGAUACCCGUGUAGUC